GGAGAGUUGGCUGAGUGGUCGAAGGCGCACGACUGGAAAUCGUGUAACGGUGAUGAGCCGUUCUAGGGUUCAAAUCCCUAACUCUCCGCCA
rnacentral:tRNA from 2 species